AUUGAACGCUGGCGGAAGGCCUAACACAUGCAAGUCGAGCGAGCGGCGGACGGGUGAGUAAUGUAUGGGGACUGCCCGAUAGAGGGGGAUAACUACUGGAAACGGUGGCUAAUACCGCAUACUAUCGGAUAACCCAUAUGGGAUUAGCUACUAGGUGAGGUAAUGGCUCACCUAGGCGACGAUCCCUAGCUGGUCUUCGAGGAUGAUCAGCAACACUGGGAAUGAGCCACGGCCCCGACUCCUACGGAGGCAGCAGUGGGGAAUAUUGCACAAUGGGCGCAAUCCUGAUGCAGCCAUGCCGCUUGUAUGAAGAAGGCCCUAGGGUUGUAAAGUACGUUCAGUCGGGAGGCGUUACCGACAGAAGAAGCACCGGCUAACUCCGUGCCAGCAGCCGCGGUAAUAC
rnacentral:rRNA from 1 species